UACGGGGGGGGCAAGCGUUGUUCGGAAUUACUGGGCGUAAAGGGCUCGUAGGUGGCCAACUAAGUCGGACGUGAAAUCCCUCGGCUUAACCGGGGAACUGCGUCUGAUACUGGAUGGCUUGAGUUCGGGAGAGGGAUGCGGAAUUCCAGGUGUAGCGGUGAAAUGCGUAGAUAUCUGGAGGAACACCGGUGGCGAAGGCGGCAUCCUGGACCGAUAUUGACGCUGAGGCGCGAAAGCCAGGGGAGCAAACGGG
rnacentral:rRNA from 1 species